rnacentral:rRNA from 1 species
UAGGGAAUCUUCCGCAAUGGGCGAAAGCUUGACGGAGCAACGCCGCGUGAGUGAUGAAGGUCUUCGGAUCGUAAAACUCUGUUAUUAGGGAAGAACAAAUGUGUAAGUAACUAUGCACGUCUUGACGGUACCUAAUCAGAAAGCCACGGCUAACUACGUGCCAGCAGCCGCGGUAAUACGUAGGUGGCAAGCGUUAUCCGGAAUUAUUGGGCGUAAAGCGCGCGUAGGCGGUUUUUUAAGUCUGAUGUGAAAGCCCACGGCUCAACCGUGGAGGGUCAUUGGAAACUGGAAAACUUUAGUGCAGAAGAGGAAAGUGAAAUUCCAUGUGUAGCGGUGAAAUGCGCAGGGAUAUGGAGGUACACCAGUGGCGAAGGCGACUUUCUGGUCUGUAACUGACGCUGAUGUGCGAAAGCGUGGGGAUCAAACAGG